rnacentral:rRNA from 1 species
AUUGAACGCUGGCGGCAGGCCUAACACAUGCAAGUCGAACGAGUGGCGGACGGGUGAGUAAUGUCUGGGAAACUGCCUGAUGGAGGGGGAUAAAUACUGGAAACGGUCGCUAAUACCGCAUACUAUAAGAUGUGCCCAGAUGGGAUUAGCUGUUGGGUGGGGGAACGGCUCACCAGGGCGACGAUCCCUAGCUGGUCUGAGAGUAUGACCAGCCACACUGGAACGGAGACACGGUCCAGACUCCUACGGAGGGAAGCAGUGGGGAAUAUUGCACAAUGGGGGAAAGCCUGAGGCAGCCAUGCGGCGGGGAUGAAGAAGGCUUUAGGGUUGUAAAGUACGUUCAGCGGGGAGGCGUUACCCGCAGAAGAAGCACCGGCUAACUCCGUGCCAGCAGCCGCGGUAAUUC